AGUGAACGCUGGCGGCAGGCCUAAUACAUGCAAGUCGAACGGCAGCACAGCAGAGCUUGCUCUGUGGGUGGCGAGUGGCGGACGGGUGAGGAAUACAUGGGAAUCUGCCCAGUCGUGGGGGAUAACGUAUGGAAACGUACGCUAAUACCGCAUGCGCCCUACGGGGGAAAGUCGGGGACCGCAAGGCCUGGCGCGAUUGGAUGAGCCCAUGUUCGAUUAGCUAGUUGGCGGGGUAAAGGCCCACCAAGGCGACGAUCGAUAGCUGGUCUGAGAGGAUGAUCAGCCACACUGGAACUGAGACACGGUCCAGACUCCUACGGGAGGCAGCAGUAGGGAAUAUUGGACAAUGGGGGCAACCCUGAUCCAGCCAUGCCGCGUGAGUGAAGAAGGCCCUCGGGUUGUAAAGCUCUUUUGUCCGGAAAGAAAAGCAAUCGGUUAAUACCCGGUUGUUCUGACGGUACCGGAAGAAUAAGCACCGGCUAACUUCGUGCCAGC
rnacentral:rRNA from 1 species